rnacentral:lncRNA from 1 species
GUUCUGACUAGCACUUGAACGUGGCAACAAUCAGAGAAGCAUAACGUGUGGCGGAAGAGGGCGAAAACGCGAUGUGGGGUCCGCAGUUGUGCCGCAUCAAGGCAAAUUCGUGAUGUGACGUCGUCGCGGAAACGGCAAAACGUAAUCCAGCGUCUUUUAGCGACAAAUCAAGGAGCCAAUAGCAGUAAUCACUGAAAAAUAGUCGGCAAUACUGCACGGUGUCAACGUGCUUUUCAUGAUUAUGCUGCUGGUUUGCAAAUCUAGGACAACGUGAUCUCGAGGAACAAUAAAUCAGCUUUUUUUAUCCAUGGUGUUUGCAAGUUGUAAAGAGAUGGAUGGUAUCGGGAACACAAUGCAGAAGAAGGCUGCGGAGCUCGAGCGCA